GUUGCUUUUAUCUGUUACAACUAGUAUGUUGUUCUUCGACAAAGGAUUUUAAUUGCCACUUAAGCAUCGUCAACUAUAUCAAUCUGAUGUAUACUUCCUAAUUAGAUAAUAAAUUGAAUGGUAUCCAUCACGUGACUGUUCCUUGGAUGCCUUGAGAUAAACUCGUCUUUUGGUAACAAGUCCCGACUAUGGUAUUCCUAUGUGUAUUCUACCUACACACGUAUAGUGUAGACGAAACGAGCGUCUGACGUAUUAAAUUAUAAUCCUGGUAUACCUUUGAUAUAACCUGCCAUCAUUACCGAACUGAACAAAGUAAUGACACGACAUGUGCCGUAUACGGUGCAUGAAAUGCUCACCCUUCCGGAGCACCUGAUUUAAAUCCCGGGUUUUAGUGGAGUUCAUGUUGUUUCUUAUUUAUUAUUUAAACCUGUUGAUCAUUUGUUGAUGUAAUUAUCUUUUGGUUUGUUGAGUCCUUGUUUACU
rnacentral:lncRNA from 1 species